GAGAAGAACGUAGCGAAAUGCGAUAAGUAAUGUGAAUUGCAGAAUUCCGUGAAUCAUCGAAUCUUUGAACGCACAUUGCGCCCCCUGGCAUUCCGGGGGGCAUGCCUGUCCGAGCGUCAUUUCUGCCCUCCAGCCCGGCUGGGUGUUGGGCGCUGUCCCCCCGGGGACACGCCCCAAAGGCAGUGGCGGCGCCGCGUCGGGUCCUCGAGCGUAUGGGGCUUUGUCACCCGCUCGGGACGGACUCGUCGGCGCUGGUCUUCCUCCAGGCGACCCUUCGGGGCUCGUCUUCCUUCGGUUGACCUCGGAUCAGGUAGGGUUACCCGCUGAACUUAAGCAUAUCAAUAAGCGGAGGA
rnacentral:misc_RNA from 1 species